rnacentral:rRNA from 1 species
GACGAACGCUGGCGGCGUGCUUAACACAUGCAAGUCGAACGGAAAGGCCCUGCUUUUGUGGGGUGCUCGAGUGGCGAACGCGUGAGUAACACUUGAGUAACCUGCCCUUGACUUUGGGAUAACUUCAGGAAACUGGGGCUAAUACUGGAUAGGAGCUCCUGCUGCAUGGUGGGGGUUGGAAAGUUUCGGCGGUUGGGGAUGGACUCGCGGCUUAUCAGCUUGUUGGUGGGGUAGUGGCAUACCAAGGCUUUGACGGGUAGCCGGCCUGAGAGGGUGACCGGCCACAUUGGGACUGAGAUGCGGCCCAGACUCCUACGGGAGGCAGCAGUGGAGAAUAGUGCACAAUGGGAGGGAGCCUGAUGCAGCAACGCAGCGUGGGGGAUGACGGCAUUCGGGUUGUAACCCGAUUUCGCCUCUGCCGAAGCGAGAGUGACGGUACUGGGUAAAGAAGCCCCGGCUAACUACGUG